rnacentral:rRNA from 1 species
CCCAACAGCCAUGUCACCCUGCAACUCACAACUGGCCACCCAGUGAAGCUCAGCAGGUGUGAGCCUGGUCAGUACCUGGAUGGGAGACCUCCUGGAAAGCUAUUGUCGCUGCUGGAA